GCAAGGAAUCUUCCGCAAUGGGCGAAAGCCUGACGGAGCAACGCCGCGUGGGGGAUGAAGCCUUUCGGGGUGUAAACCUCUUUUCUCGGGGACGAAGAUCUGACGGUACCCGAGGAAUAAGGACCGGCUAACUACGUGCCAGCAGCCGCGGUAAUACGUAGGGUCCGAGCGUUGUCCGGAGUUACUGGGCGUAAAGCGCGCGCAGGUGGCGUCGCAAGUCUGGCGUGAAAGCCCCCGGCUCAACCGGGGAGGGUCGUCGGAUACUGCGGUGCUUGAGGGAGGCAGGGGUCGGUGGAAUGCCCGGUGUAGUGGUGAAAUGCGUAGAGAUCGGGCGGAACACCCGUGGCGAAGGCGGCCGACUGGGCCUAACCUGACACUGAGGCGCGAAGGCGUGGGGAGCGAACGGGAUUAGAAACCCCGGUAGUCC
rnacentral:rRNA from 1 species